UACAGAGGGGGGCAAGCGUUGUUCGGAAUUACUGGGCGUAAAGGGCGCGUAGGCGGCCUGUUAAGUCGAACGUGAAAUCCCCGGGCUCAACCCGGGAACUGCGUCCGAUACUGGCAGGCUUGAAUCCGGGAGAGGGAUGCGGAAUUCCAGGUGUAGCGGUGAAAUGCGUAGAUAUCUGGAGGAACACCGGUGGCGAAGGCGGCAUCCUGGACCGGCAUUGACGCUGAGGCGCGAAAGCCAGGGGAGCAAACGGG
rnacentral:rRNA from 1 species